ensembl:lncRNA
AUUUUCUAUUCCACAUUUCUAUUGUAGCGUACUGUAUGUAUGGAGCAUAAUAUAUUUGUGUAUAUUCUUUAUCACCGCGGACACGUGAGGUAACGUUACUCAUUUUAUAACCUUUAUGGUGUUAUAGUCAAUCGUGCUUAUGUAGCCACAUUCUUCUAUUAGCUCUGUAAAACAAUGCUAAAUGCGUCAGAGAAGUAUUAUCUUGUGUUGCAUUUUGAAGCUACCAUGGCCUUAUGACUCUCAAGUGGUGCAGCGGUCAAAGGCACAGCACAUCAGUACUAGAGGUGUCACUACAGACUCCCUGGUUCAAAUCCAGGCUGCGUUUCCAUCAAAAAACCAGAAACAUUAUUUGCCAAUAUCAUAACUGGAGCUGGACAUCUUUGGAGCUGAAUAAUGAGGACAGCUUUUGUAUGCUAACGUACACUCCUUAACAGUUGUACUGGAUGAAAACACAGCAAGAAAACACAUAUGCCAAUAUGUAAUAUUCAUCUAUUUUAUUGCAGGACUGGUAGUUGGUUCAACAACUUGUUUUACUAGAGGACAAAAAACUGAAUAUGCAAAACCCAUAUUCAUUAUCCAUGCAGUGACUGAACAACAACUGCAUUUCCACCCCCAUCUCUAAGGCA